UGAUGGCAGGAAUGAAGAAGGACAGACGCAUGGGUUUCUCUCACCAAGGCUUAUCCAACUGCACUGCUGCUGAGUGUGCAACCUCCCUGAAGCUGAGAUGGGUCCUGAGUAGUUGCCAGAACACCAAUCACUGAGGACAGAAACCAGCCAGUUGGUGGCAAAUUGAUUACUUUGGCAGUUUUUUACCCUGGAAGAACAGUAAUUUAUUUUGAAUAGGAUCAAGGUAUAUUCUGGAUAUUUGUCUUCCUUUCCUGCCAACUGUGCCUCAGUCAGCAGUAGAAUCAGAGGCCUUCCCAUGUGUGAUCCAUUGGCAAGUAUUCUGCAACCUAUUACCCAUGAGGAGGAGACUUAUAUUACCGUGGCAAAAGAGCAUAUGUGUACAGCUGACCUCACUGGACUCUUUGGGAUUAGUGGUCUUCUAUGUGGACUGACGUCAUAGUUGUCAUCACCAUCAUUUUCAUCAUCUCCUACAACCCACCAAGAAAUCAUGGCCUGGAUGGCCAGGGAAUAGGCUGCCCACAAGAGGAGGAAGGCACAGGAGGAAGGCCUCUGGUCUGUGUGGGAACAGGAAGAAGAGCAAUCAGGUUGGAAAGGAAGGUCUUAUAGGAGCCGAUUAAGGCAAGUGGUGAAGGACUCAAAGGUAAGAGGGUGAGCUUGGUGGCCUAAUGGGAGUGACCAGAGACCUCUCAUCCUUUUCACCCUGUGAGGAGACAGCAAGAAGGCACUGUCCACAAGCCAGAAGUGUGUCCUCAUUCACCUUAUUCAUUGGAUCUGCAAUGUAUAACACUCUGCUCUUCCUCAAAGUCAAAAUGACCAUUACAGGCAAACAUUUUGAAUCGAUUCAGGACAUCAAGGCAACAACUAAAGACACUUAUGAAAGAAGACUUCUAGAACUGUGUUAUUAACUGGCAAGAAGACUGGGAUAAGUGUGUUUGAAGUUUCUGGUAAAGUGGGAAGAUAUUACACAUUUUUGAAUAAUAAAGCCUACUGAAAGUGAGUCUGAUGCUGAGUCAAGGAAGGGGAGAUUGUGCACCAGAGGCUUAAUUUCUUCUAUUAGCCUGGCUGCUGGCAAUAACUUCCUGAAGGACACCUUCCGGAC
rnacentral:lncRNA from 1 species